GCCCCCGUAGUGUAGCGGCAAGCACAUAAGCUUCUCGAGCUUAUAACCCGGGUUCGAGUCCCGGCGGGGGCA
rnacentral:tRNA from 1 species